rnacentral:rRNA from 1 species
CGAUCACCGAAGUCAAGCAUCAUCGGGCGCGGUCAGUACUUGGGAGGGUGACCACCUGGGAACACCGCGCGCCGUU